AGGACGAACGCUGGCGGCGUGCUUAACACAUGCAAGUCGAACGGGGCCUUUCGGGGCCUAGUGGCGAACGGGUGAGUAACACGUGAGCAACCUGCCCUUAGCUUCGGGAUAGCUCCGGGAAACCGGAAUUAAUACCGAAUAUGACUGCGGCUGACAUCAGCCACGGUGGAAAGUUUUUCGGCUAGGGAUGGACUCGCGGCCUAUCAGCUAGUUGGUGAGGUAACGGCCCACCAAGGCGACGACGGGUA
rnacentral:rRNA from 1 species